rnacentral:rRNA from 1 species
UACGGAGAGGCCGAGCGUUGUCCGGAAUUACUGGGCGUAAAGAGCUCGUAGGUGGUUUGUCGCGUUGUUCGUGAAAACUCACAGCUCAACUGUGGGCGUGCGGGCGAUACGGGCAGACUAGAGUACUGCAGGGGAGACUGGAAUUCCUGGUGUAGCGGUGGAAUGCGCAGAUAUCAGGAGGAACACCGGUGGCGAAGGCGGUUCUCUGGGCAUUACCUGACGCUGAGGAGCGAAAGUGUGGGGAGCGAACAGG